rnacentral:tRNA from 1 species
GCCUCCGUAGUGUAGUGGUUAACGCACUGGCUUGGCAAGCAAAAGGUUUCUGCUUCCAUUCCAGACAGAGACA